CUGCUUUGCUGGCGACCGGCGCACGGGUGAGUAACACGUAUCCAACCUGCCCUUUACUCGGGGAUAGCCUUUCGAAAGAAAGAUUAAUACCCGAUAGUAUAAUGAUUCCGCAUGGUUUCAUUAUUAAAGGAUUCCGGUAAAGGAUGGGGAUGCGUUCCAUUAGGUUGUUGGUGAGGUAACGGCUCACCAAGCCUUCGAUGGAUAGGGGUUCUGAGAGGAAGGUCCCCCACAUUGGAACUGAGACACGGUCCAA
rnacentral:rRNA from 1 species